rnacentral:rRNA from 1 species
AACGAACGCUGGCGGCAUGCCUAACACAUGCAAGUCGAACGAGACCUUCGGGUCUAGUGGCGCACGUGUUCGUAACGCGUGGGAACCUGCCCUUAGGUUCGGAAUAACUCCCCGAAUGGUGUUCUAAUACCGGAUAAUGUCUUCGGACCAAAGAUUUAUCGCCUUUGGAUGGGCCCGCGUUGGAUUAGCUAGUUGGUAGGGUAAAAGCAUACCAAGGAGACGAUACAUAGCUGGUCUGAGAGGAUGAUCAGCCACACUGGGACUGAGACACGGCACAGACUACUACGGGAGGCAGCAGUGGGGAAUAUAGGAAAAUGGGCGAAAGCAUGAUCAAGCAAUGACGGGUGAGUGAUGAAGGCCUUAGGGUUGUAAAGCUAUUUUACCCGGGAUGAUAAUGACAGUAACGGGAGAAUAAGCUACGGCUAACUACGUG